rnacentral:rRNA from 1 species
GACGUAGGGCGCAAGCGUUGUCCGGAUUUAUUGGGCGUAAAGAGCUCGUAGGCGGUCUGUCGCGUCUGCUGUGAAAACUCAGGGCUUAACCCUGAGCUUGCAGUGGGUACGGGCAGACUAGAGUGCGGUAGGGGAGACUGGAAUUCCUGGUGUAGCGGUGAAAUGCGCAGAUAUCAGGAGGAACACCGGUGGCGAAGGCGGGUCUCUGGGCCGUAACUGACGC